rnacentral:rRNA from 1 species
AUGCCAGGACGACACAUACUGGAAGGGGUGGUCAUUCUACAUGAAACGCUUCAUGAAAUCCACUCGAAGAAACUCGAUGGGGUUAUCUUUAAAGUGGACUUUGAGAAGGCGUAUGAUAAAGUAAAGUGGCCUUUUCUUCAGCAGGCAAUGCGCAUGAAGGGUUUUAGUGAAACCUGGAGGAACCAAGUGGAUACCCAAGUCCAGAAAGGUAGUGUUGGAAUCAAGGUGAACGAUGACAUCGGUCAUUAUUUCCAGACACAUAAGGGGUUGCGACAAGGGGAUUCCAUGUCUCCUCUUCUGUUCAAUAUUGUGGCAGAUAUGCUGGCCAUCAUUAUUGGCAGGGCCAAGCAGCAUGGCCAUGUAGAGGGUCUAGUUCCUCAUCUAGUCGAUGGAGGGGUAUCCAUUCUAUAA